GACCCCGGAGGGUCCGAACUGUCUCAGCGGAGAAAGGGGACAUAGUGUGCUGGCGGGCGCUGGCUGUUGGCGUUAGAGCUCCGGCUGUGGCUCAGUCUGGGGCGCGGUUCUUGCCAACACACCAUGUCCAGAGACAGCUGACAAAAAAAACUAAAUUGAAACCAGCUCUGGAUGGGAUAACAACACAGGGUCAUACUUACUUUACGGCAGGCACGUUAUUCGCCUUCUUACUCGCACUUACCGCUAUGGAUUCGCUCUUCAGGGGGCACUGAGACAUCCUACAGUGCCCUGGACGGCCCACCCCAACCAUGGUAUCCGUUGUCCAACAGUUUUGGAUACCCCAGAAUCGUCUCCCCGUUCCCCCUCUACAGCAUGGUGCACUACCCCUUCCUUACCUUAAUGAUCUACUCUUCCAUAGCGAAAUGAGAAUACUAAGCCAAGUGGAAUUUCAUUUCUACGUUAUAAAAGAAAAGUGCCUUUGUUGCGUCUGUCAGAUCGCCGGACUGGAAUGCUUCGACGACGGCUCCCCUGGAUAGCAAGACAAUUUGGUAGCGGAGGUGCCCUGGAUCUCCCUUUUUAUGUUCUUGCCAACCUGCAGGGACAACAUUAAACGACCAAAGGGUCUUUUAUUUAAAGUGUAUUCCUAGUGCCCUAGAAUGAGCUCACCCUACUUCCUAGGUUGUAUCGUCCGUUCAAUCACCGGACUGCAGAUAUGAAACCCAAUGUCUACCCUGUUUGCUGCCUAAGUUAUUCUGUUUUCUUUUUUUUUAUUUCUUAUAUUUUUAUUCCAGGAUGUGUGUCAAGCUAAGUUUCUCUGUGUAUCGUUCUAAGUAUUGAACAUAUAAAAAGGAGCAUACAUCGGCCUACCUUGGCACCUACGGGCUGCUGGUGCAAAAUUCCCUCGGGGACACUGGAGCAGAUGGCGGCGGUGGAACCAAUGAUGAAGCUGGAGAUGCUGAUGAGAUGAUGAUGUUGUUGAGGAUGGAAAUGUUGACGUUGCCGUGGAUGACGAUGGUUAAAAUUGCAGUAGAGGUGGGUAUUUAUUAUUUGACAAAAAGUUUUUGUUGUUCUGUUUAGUCUUUGCUAUGUUUUAUUCGUGGCUCAAAUUAACGUUCUUUUUCAAAGCUUUUUAUAUUUCACAGGAUCUUUUUUCCUUAGCAUUAAUUAGCACUAAUAAGUUUAUUUAGCUUUAAGUUGAUCUAAAGUAACUUCAGCUUUUUUACUACAAAAGCUAGUCUUUAUUCCUUUCACAAAAAAAGGAACAUUU